GAUGAACGCUGGCGGCGUGCCUAAUACAUGCAAGUCGAGCGAACGGACGAGAAGCUUGCUUCUCUGAUGUUAGCGGCGGACGGGUGAGUAACACGUGGAUAACCUACCUAUAAGACUGGGAUAACUUCGGGAAACCGGAGCUAAUACCGGAUGAUAUUUUGAACCGCAUGGUUCAAAAGUGAAAGACGGUCUUGCUGUCACUUAUAGAUGGAUCCGCGCUGCAUUAGCUAGUUGGUAAGGUAACGGCUUACCAAGGCAACGAUGCAUAGCCGACCUGAGAGGGUGAUCGGCCACACUGGAACUGAGACACGGUCCAGACUCCUACGGGAGGCAGCAGUAGGGAAUCUUACGCAAUAGGCGAAAGCCUGACGGAGCAACGCCGCGUGAGUGAUGAAGGUCUUCGGAUCGUAAAACUCUGUUAUUAGGGAAGAACAUAUGUGUAAGUAACUGUGCACAUCUUGACGGUACCUAAUCAGAAAGCCACGGCUAACUACGUG
rnacentral:rRNA from 1 species